CUGUUUCCAUUGGUUUGAGGGCUGUUGUUUUGUGGUUGUCUGUAGGUGUUGUACCUUUUGCAUUAUGAUUCAUCGAGGCUUUCUUCUUAUUGGGGGGUUGCUCGAAGGGUAGCGAUUUCUUUCUGACCUGCUUCGAUCUGAGUGUCUUACAGGUUGUUGGGUGUUAGAGUUGGGGAGUGUUGUGAUAAAUAGUUCGUGCUAUCCUAUAGCUAGUUUGUUGUUUUCUUUUUCGUUUGUACCUUUCUUGUCUGGAUAUGAGAGAGGGGGUAAGAGGUGAGUUUUGUCUGGAUUAGGUAUGGGUUGAGGGUACCUCGAUUUCUUUAGUGUGUUAAAACCAGUUUUUCAGAGAAAAGUUGCCUUUAAUUUUUUGGUGGUUUGCAAUUUUUUAAUUAUGUUGAGGAAGUAUGGUGGAAUAAGUAGUUUGAUUAGCCUCUUUUUUUCUCGGACUCCCUCGAUCUGUUUAUUAAAAACAUUUCCAUUAUUUAAGGUUUGAUGGUAGUGCCUGCCCAAUGCUUUACGGUGAAUGGCCGCAGUAUCUUGACUGUGCUAAGGUAGCAUAAUUAAUUGCCCUAUAAUUGAGGGAUAGUUUGAAAGGUUUGAUUAGGGGGAGAUGGUAUUGAUCUAGAUGGGGGCUUUGUUCGAAAUUGGUUUUUUGGUGCAGAACCCAAAAAUGAUAAGUAAGACGGAAAGACCCCGAGAGCUUGGAUUUAUCUUUUACCUGGGGAGGGGGUAUAUAAUUCAUGUACUUUUUGAUCCUUUGCAGGACUGUAGGGAUAAGAUACCUCGGGGAUAACUAGGUAAGAAGCAAGGAGAGGUCCUAUUGAUUUGCUUGAUUGCCAUCUCGAUGUUUGUUUGGGGUAGCGAAGAGGCGCAGCAGCCUUUUCGUGGGGUCUGUUCGACCAUAGUUCCCCAUGAGCUGAGUUAAGACCGGUGUGAGCCAGGUCGGUUCUUAUCUACUUGGGCUGUGUUCUAGUACGAAAGGAUUGUUCACAGUUUACGUU
rnacentral:rRNA from 1 species